UUUUUUUUUUUUUUGUCUUUUGUCAUUUUGUUGUUGUUGCUAUUUCUUGGACCACUCCCGUGGCAUAUGGAGGUUCCCAGGCUAGGGGUCGAAUCGGAGCUGCAGCCACCGGCCUAUGCCAGAGCCACAGCAACUCGGGAUCGGAGCCGUGUCUGCAACCUGCACCACAGCUCACGGCAACGCCGGAUCGUUAACCCACUGAGCCAAGGGCAGGGACCGAACCCGCAACCUCAUGGUUCCUAGUCGGAUUCGUUAACCACUGCGCCACGACGGGAACUCCGGUCCUCACCACUUUUGCUUAAUUUAUACUAUUGUUUCAACCUUCAGUUUUAUAACCACUGCCAGUGUCAUAAAACAAGCUUCCCCACAUUUCUAACAGAAGGCUUGAUUCCUGACAGCCAUAUUUGGAUUUUCAAAGAGGUUGGAUUUUAAGUGGGGCUUGUGGUGGUAAAUUUGAGCACAAAAUAAGUUCAUAUGUAAUAAAGACCCAGAUACUUCUGAUCAGAAAACCAUGCAUUAUCAACUGAAGCAAGGGUCAAUUAAAAAAUCUGCACACAUUUUCUUUGUAUUUUAUUCUUGUCUUACAAAUAGAAAGAGUAUGAGCUUCAGAGUUAAGACAGGCUUAAAAGGAAUUGCUGUUCCACUACUUGUAAAGUGUUACCAUCACUAAUUAGUUACCAUCACUAAUCUCUGUUUCUUCAUCUAAGAAUGGCAGUGGUUGCCAUCAGGGUUGUAUCCAAUACUUUAUGCGAUGCAUCUACCAGAGUCCUGACAUCAUCAUUGCUAAAUAAAUGUUACUUUUUACAACAUUAUUAUUUAAUUAUUAUGGGCCUAUUCGCUGGGCCCUCUUUGGUUGUUUUGGCUGCACCUGUGGCAUGUGGAAGUUACUGGCCCAGGGGUUGAACCUGAGCCACAGCAGUGACAAUGCCAUGUCCUUAACCCCACUGAGCCACAAGGGAACUCCUCACUGAGGUUUUAGAGGGCUGAGGCUUGUAGUCUGGGUAUAGGAGCUGAGUCUCAGCUUGAGACAAGAGUGGGAUCCAACACAGACAACAGCUGGACUCAGACUGAGCCUGUUGUCAUAACAUCUGCAAAGCAACUCACAGACACCUGGUGACCCAGGUUCAAUCAUUCUCACAAGGAGACAGCAGGGUUUUCUUUUGGGUAAAUAGGCCACAGCAAAACAUACACACAGAUACUCACUACUGACGUUUGGAGGUGCCUCAAAUUGUCAAGACCUUCAGCAGAUAAUCACCACUUUACACAUGGAAUUUUAAUAAGCUUUUUCAAAAUGUGAAAAUACAUUAGAUUUAUUAUAAAUAAGUUUAAGACACUUUGUAAAGAAAAAUUAUCUGAGUCUAUAUUAAUAUUUACCUAAUUUAACUAUAAUUAGGCUGCUUUAGAGGUCUCUUGUGGAAACUUCUGUUAUCAUGAAAGAGAAAAUCUCUUUCUCUACUUGAAAGGUGACUAUGUUUGCUAUACUAAGGUCUUUCUCAUACUGGUGUGAGAUUUUCUGAUAGUUCUUUUUUUUUUUUGGCUGCACUUGCCACAUAUAGAAGUUCCAGGCCAGAGACUGAAUCAGAGCUGCAGCUGCAGCCUAUGCCACAGCUAUGCCAACAACAGAUUCUUAACCCGUUUUGCCAGGCCUGGGACUGAACCCUUGAGUCGGUAGCCACAAGAGGCACUGCAGAGACAACGCCAGAUCCUUAAAAUGCUGUGCCAUGGGGGGAACUCCUGAUAGUUUUUAAUUUUUUUCCAAAUGGCUUACACGUUUCAGUAAAUCUAAUUAUGUGCCACAAGACUUUUGAAAGUUUACUUAUUCCAUUUCACAUAUCACACCUGUACAAUUUAAUCACAUGUGCUCUCCACUAGCACUUAGUGAGACUACUUUGAAAUUUGUUUCAAGUGUUUUUAGGCAUUAACUUCUUAAUUAUUUUAUUAAUGUCCAUUGUUUUUAAUGAAAGUUAACAUGCAUCAUAUAUAUUUGAGUUUGAGGUUCAAGUAUCACUGCACUAUAUUACAGAAAAGACUUAAUAAUAAAGCAUGAUGUGGAUUCAAUAUAUAUUAGUAUUAACUUUGGCAAGGUGCUUCCACAACCAGCAUGUAACAGAACUGGACAACAGACCGUGCCACAUUGUGUAUAAAAUGUUCUUACUGAGAGGAUGGAUGGAUGAUUUAACCCCAUGGUAAGGUUCGUAGUAGCAUUAUUCCUAUUUUAUAGUAAUGAAAAGAUAUAAAUUUAACCAAUUUAUAAAUAUGAAAAGAAUAUGCUUACAUGUUUAAAUAUAAGAUUUUCUUUCAUUAGAUUUUUUGUUAUGUGAGUUAUAUUAUUUAAGAAAAUUUACAUUUGAAUGUCAAAAAAAGGAACAUAGUACCAAAGAACAUUGACUUCAUUGGCCAAGAACACAUAGACUUAAUCUUGUCUCAGGCACUGCAUCCUUACAUUGCCUUUCUGAACUUUCUAAGAGUAAGAGGAGGAAGGCAAAAAGAUAAACUUACACAAGCACCUUGACUCUGGAAAAUGGUUUUGAAAUGAUAUCACUUUGUAAGGUUAUCAAGUGGAGACCAGUCACGGCCCAUUUGGGCCUACCCCGUGGUCCCUCUUAACUUUUCAUGUUCUCCAACCGAGAGAUUAGGCCUAAAACAAUGGGAGCAGGGGAAAGGGCCUACACUUGUAAACCAAAAAUAUCUGAGUCUGAAUCCUAGUUUUAUCACUUAGAAAUUAUUACAACAAAUCCCUGCGUCAGCUUUCUUAUCUCUUAUCUUUAAAUUGGGGAUAAUAUUAUCUCGUGUAGUAACUAUGAAGACAGAAUGAGAACAGAUUCUGAACCUAACAGAUCUAACGGUGUCCACAGUGCAUAGGCUUUCAUAAUGUUAUAAAUAUUAAUUCCCUUUCCAUUAAGGACUAAACAAAAGAAAGAGUCUGAACACCAGAGAAACCCUUAAAGAACAACCUUCAUCUCAAAAGGGUUGGACUGGUGAUAAUCAAAUUCUCUCUAUACAAGAAAAGUAUUAGGAUCCUAAAGGGCAAGAAUUGUAAGGAAAUCUACUAACAAAUUAUAAUUGAGACAAGUACUGAAGAGGAAGGAAUGAGAUUAAACCUGAAACUGGGUGGAAUGAAGUCAUAUUGAGGUAGAUUGGGUCCCUAACACCCCUAUAUCACAAAUAACAAAAGAGGUGUAGAAUCACUCAGUAGAAUUUCCAAGGUCACAAGGGUUAAGUGUGAGCCAGGACUGGAGCCCAAGAAGGCUGAGAGCACACUUAGUGCUAUGUCUCAUGUGGCUUCUUACUAUUUUGGGGUUUUUCUUCCCUUACUUAUGAAGUGAAUGGGUUGGUCUUUAUUUUAUUUAUUUAUUUAUUUAUUUUUGUCUUUUUUUGCCUUUUCUGGGCUGCUCCUGCGGCAUAUGGAGGUUCCCAGGCUAGGGGUCUAAUCGGAGCUGUAGCCACUGGCCUAUGCCAGAGCCACAGCAAUGGGGGAUCCGAGCUGCAUCUGCAACCUACACCACAGCUGACGGCAACGCUGGAUCCUUAAUCCACUGAGCAAGGCCAGGGAUCGAACCCACAACCUCAAGGUUCCUAGUCGGAUUCGUUAACCACUGUGCCAUGACGGGAACUCCGAAUGGGUUGGUCUUUAAAUACACAUCAUUUGAAAGGGUAUGUGACAGUCAAUAUCUGGGCCAAGGCAGACAUAUUGGAUAAUGUAGUCGUUUUGAGCUCCAAACUUGGCUCUUUCUUUUUGACCCCAGGAAAGUUAGUUAGCAAAAACAAAAAUAAAAGGGACAAAUACACUGGCAGACUCAGGGUUUGGGGGUAACUAUAUCUAUAGAGUGUGUGACACUGUGCCAGGCACUGUAAAAUAGUAGAUGUAAUUUUUUACAGUAUUCUUAUUGACCCUUUAUAUCUUUUUUUUUUUUUUUUUUUGGCCCUACCCACUGCAUACGGAAGUUCCCCGGGCCAGGGUGACAACAUCAAAUCCUUAGCCCAUUAGGUAACCAGGGAACCCUGAUCUUUCACAUCUUUUAAUUUAGAAGAAAAAAAAAAUGUGGAGUUAGUUGCAUAGAAAAGCAUAGAUGAAGCUUUCUCUUCAAGUCAAUAAAACCAAGCUCUGGGCCAUCAUGUAAGCACUUCAUAUUUAACUUUGAAUCUGUGUUCCAGAGAGGCUUCAAGUGUGAUUCUGGACUGGCGCAGUAGGGGGAGGGCCUUUCCACUCCACUCUUCCUAUUUAUACACAUUGGGAAAGUGAGGAUCUGGUGGCCGAGAAGCUUCCAGUGAAAUUCCUUACCUCAGCAUCCUCAAGAGACACAGACACUCAGGAAUAUCAAAAAGAAAUGGAAAAGUUCCCCCUGCCUGCCUGAAAUUGCUAAGUACAAAGACCUUACAGGAUUUUUGUGAGCCAUUGCCAUGGGUUUUAGAGAGCUAAAUUUGUAUUUGUCUUUAUAUUUUAUUGCAUUUCUAUCUGACCGCAGCCCCUACAGAUGCUGCUUCAUGCUUCAAGUGGUUCAGCUAGUGAAUCUGAAGAAGGCUCCUGGGAUAGACAUCUUUUAACACUCAGCUGCUUUUUUUUUUCACACUCUUUUUCUUUGGCCUCUCAAGGAAUCAUUUUCUUUUGCACUUGAAGGGGCUUUUGUUAAGUGGCCUGGAAGUGAGAUUGUGGUGCAUCCAUCUUGGCAAAUUUAAUCCAAGAGUGAAAAUGCCAAGACGGAACAGCUCGUUUCUAUUCUGAACACUUCCUUCAAUGGUCUGAAUGCAAAAGCAAAAUGCCUUCCUGUGAGUCUCUCUGUAACUGAGGAGCGUUAUCAGCUGCCUCCUUUCUCCAAUCAAGGUCUUCAUCAAAGCUGAUGGAGGCAAGUCCUUAACAAGCAGGAGACU
rnacentral:lncRNA from 1 species